rnacentral:rRNA from 1 species
UACGGAGGGUGCAAGCGUUGUCCGGAUUCAUUGGGUUUAAAGGGUGCGCAGGCGGGACAUUAAGUCAGGGGUGAAAGACGGUUGCUCAACAAUCGCAGUGCCUUUGAUACUGGUGUUCUUGGGUGACGGUGAGGUAGGCGGAAUGGGUGGUGUAGCGGUGAAAUGCAUAGAUACCACCCAGAACACCGAUAGCGAAGGCAGCUUACUACAGGAUGAUUGACGCUGAGGCACGAAAGCGUGGGGAGCAAACAGG